rnacentral:lncRNA from 1 species
CUCAACAUUCGACAAACCCAAAGUUUCACACAUAGAUCUGCUUAAACAUUCUUUGUUUCUCAAUUUAUAUCGACAUCAGGAAAGACAAAAGGAACACAUCGUUCCUCAGCUACUUCUGAGGACUACUGUCACCGAAAGAAAAUCACCUCGCUUAAUGACUCGGAAGGUGAAAGCGAGACCCAAAAAUUUUCCACUACGAAGCAAGUAAAGGGUCUUAAACAAAAGUGCUCAAAAGGAACUAGAUAACCACAGCAAAGGCUAAAAAAUCUAUGGUUGACAUAAACUUCCGCGACGAAGCAGUUAAAGUAGGCGAAAGCGAAUCGACAAUCGAGUGCGCGUGUGCGCUGUGCGUCACUCGCGGCAUUAAUAUUUCGGCCAGUAAGGCAUCCGACACAUGGAGGGAUGUUUCAACAAAUAAAACCAACGGGGUUCGGUCGAAUCUUUUAAACCAAAAUAGUGUCCAGUAUUAAGUUACGCGGUGGUUACAAUCCCAGUAACCAAAUAUACUGGAGGCAAUUUCGUGCUUUGAGUCCGGUGCAUUGCAAAAAUCCUAAUAAGAAAACUGAUGUAGGCUAGCGGUAUCCUGUAGUACGAGAACUUUACCGAUAGGGAUCCUGUGUAGAUGAGAUGAUAGUCACCACCGACUCCGUUUUUAACGAUAUUCCUCUCAAUAGACGGCGUUAGCUGUAAAAGGGAUUUUACACAGGUUCUGGGGUGGUUCACAAACGUUUUGCAACCAGACGUCAUUUGAAUGGUGCAGCUCCUACCUGCAGCCCUGCAGUGUGCAAAAAUAGAUGGUGGAAAAAAUCUGCUCAUCAUGCUGAUCUGCACAAUGCCAGCUUCAUUAAGCAUUCUUGAGAAGAUUUCUUCAUUACAAUCUUCAGUUUCCCAGGCAGAUACCCAUCCGCAAGGCAAUGGGAUAUACAUUUCCCGUAUAUUUUCGAGACAUCUAGUGGUGAAAUAACUAACUCCGUAGAAUUUUUAUUGGUGUGUCAGCUGUCCCGUCAGCUGUUCCAUUUCGCGUGGCUGCGGACUGAGGAUGGCUGCUGAAACGAACGUCUAUCUUCCUGAAAUUAUACCACCGAUUCCGUGUAUUUUGAGUUGCAUCUUGUGAAUUCAAUCAAUGCAGAGAUGUUCAAGGAGGAACUUGGCUUGGCUAUGCUAGCAUGUUUUGUUUUUUUAAAUCUCCGUUAGCCUGAUAUACCCAUUUUGUUUCAUAGGUGAUACGUAAAAAGAGUAGUUCUUUACAAUCUUUUUCUCUAUCUAAAUCUCUUAAAUUCUUGGAGGUGUCUUAAGGUGAUGUUUGAAUUUAUUGUUAAUGGUUUUAAGUUUUUUAUAUCAUGCUUUCAGGUCUUUGGGAUGUACCUGAUGUACUGUGGUAAUCGCAAAAUCAUUCAAUGACUUGGUUCAAUCCAGGACUUGGUUUUCUUGAUAGUGGUUUACAGUUUUAAUUUGCAGAGAUUCUGGAGGCACCUGAUGUGUUUCAUUGGCAUUGGAGUCACUCGGUUACAGAAGAGAAUGCCACUACUGUUAUGUUGUCAGUGUAAAUAAAACAUAUUCUUUUUCA